GGGAUUUGGAGACAACCUGGUGCCCUGCUAGGCGGGGUGGGGGCUUUGCUGGGCGCCAUGGGAUGACAGCAUCCUCUUGAUGCUGAUACAGAGAGAAGGGUCAUCGCCAUGCCAGGACAGUGACAGCAGGGGCAGCUGCCACCCCCACUGGCACAUGCUGCUUGACUCGGUGCCUAAAGAUAACAAAACUAGAGCCAUAGAAAAACAGAAGAAUUCCAUUAGCGGGAGCGUUCAUCCUCGGGGAGAGGCUCAAUUCUCUCUGCCUUUAAAAUAAGAUGUAUUGGGAGAUGGACGAGGCAGGCCAGGAGAGGAGGGGGGAUUUUACCAAUUGAAGAUCCCAGGAAGCUCCUCUCAACAUGGAAGAGAAAGGACCUUGUCCUCCUCCUUGUGCCGCUGCUGGAAGGAGAAAGAGCCCUCCGUCCCCUCACGUCUGCUGCAGGACAGGGAGCCCAAGAGGGCCUCAGCACACUGGCUACAAGACAGAGACCAGUGACCAGAGCCAAAGCAAGUGGAAAGCAAGGAAAGGCUCCUCUCUUGGAUCCAAAGAGCCUCCCGGUGCUGGGUAAAGAUGCCAGUUGGUGCACGAGUCUUCAAAUGUUGCUCUGCUCCUCCUGCCCCCAUACCAAGGGGAGCCCCCUCCAGCAACUUUGCUUAAUUAACCUGUUCAGAGAAGCUAGAAAACCCCUUCAGCUGAAUAGUCCACAAAUUGAGCCUCAACUGCCAGCAGAUUCCUGUCUCGUAUACUAUUCAGAGUAUUAA
rnacentral:lncRNA from 1 species